rnacentral:rRNA from 1 species
UACGGAGGAGGCGAGCGUUGUUCGGAAUCACUGGGCUUAAAGCGCGUGUAGGCGGGGUGGUAGGUGUUUUGUGAAAGCCCUCGGCUCAACCGAGGAAUUGCAGGGCAAACCAUCAUCCUUGAGGCAGGUAGAGGCAAGUGGAACUAUGGGUGGAGCGGUGAAAUGCGUUGAUAUCCAUGGGAACGCCGGUGGCGAAAGCGGCUUGCUGGGCCUGUCCUGACGCUGAGACGCGAAAGCGUAGGGAGCAAACAGG